rnacentral:antisense_RNA from 1 species
CUUCACCGAGCCAAGCCACAACGGCGCUUCCCGAUCCUGGCCAUAGGUCGCCAGCAACGCCUGCGCCUC